UGGGGGAUAUUGCGCAAUGGGGGCAACCCUGACGCAGCAACGCCGCGUGAAGGAUGAAGGUUUUCGGAUUGUAAACUUCUUUUAUUAAGGACGAAAAAAAUGACGGUACUUAAUGAAUAAGCUCCGGCUAACUACGUGCCAGCAGCCGCGGUAAUACGUAGGGAGCAAGCGUUGUCCGGAUUUACUGGGUGUAAAGGGUGCGUAGGCGGCUUUGCAAGUCAGAUGUGAAAUCUAUGGGCUCAACCCAUAAACUGCAUUUGAAACUGUAGAGCUUGAGUGAAGUAGAGGCAGGCGGAAUUCCCCGUGUAGCGGUGAAAUGCGUAGAGAUGGGGAGGAACACCAGUGGCGAAGGCGGCCUGCUGGGCUUUAACUGACGCUGAGGCACGAAAGCGUGGGUAGCAAACAGGAUUAGAUACCCCUGGUAGUCCUGGCAGUAAACGGUGCACGCUUGGUGUGGGGGAAUCUGACCCCCUGCGUGCCGGAGCUAACGCGUUAAGCGUGCCGCCUGGGGAGUACGG
rnacentral:rRNA from 1 species